rnacentral:rRNA from 1 species
GAAUCCCGUCUUUGACAUGGACUGCCUGCACGCUGUGGUAUGCUCUCAAAGAGUCGAGUUGUUUGGGAAUGCAGCUCAAAACGGGUGGUAAAUGCCAUCUAAAGCUAAAUAUUGGCGAGAAACCGAUAGCGAACAAGUACCGUGAGGGAAAGAUGAAAAGCACUUUGGAAAGAGAGUGAAACAGUACGUGAAAUUGUUGAAAGGGAAACGCUUGAAGUCAGUCGCGUCGACCGAGACUCAGCCUUGCCUCGGCUCGGUGUACUUCUCGGCCGACGGGUCAGCAUCAAUUUUGCCCCUCGGAUAAUGGCGAGAGAAAGGUGGCACCCUCACGGGUGUGUUAUAGUCUCCCGUCGGAUGCGAGGGUUGGGAUUGAGGAACUCGGCACGUACCGUGCUUAGGAUGUUGGCAUAAUGGCUUUAAACGACCCGUCUUGAAACACGGACCAAGGAGUCUAACAUGCCCGCGAGUGUUCGGGUGGAAAACCCGUGCGCGUAAUGAAAGUAAAAGUUGGGACCCCUGUCGUGGGGGGCACCGACGCCCGGACCAGACCUUCUGUGACGGAUCUGCGGUAGAGCGUGCAUGUUGGGACCCGAAAGAUGGUGAACUAUGCCUGAAUAGGGUGAAGCCAGAGGAAACUCUGGUGGAGGCUCGUAGCGAUUCUGACGUGCAAAUCGAUCGUCAAAUUUGGGUAUAGGGGCGAAAGACUAAUCGAACCAUCUAGUAGCUGGUUCCUGCC